rnacentral:lncRNA from 1 species
GUGAGGCGCAGCUCUACACGAAUGCCAUGCACUAGUUAGUAUAGACGGUUAUUUCAACAGCAACACUUGCAAGUCUGAGCCUAGAAACUUGCGACACAGAGCAGGAGGGUGGGAAGGUUCAAGGGAGCUGGUGGAGAUCAAGGGGUAAGGGUCGGAAAAGGAACUUAUGAUCUGAUCCUUAAACUAGAGGAUUUGGUAUGCUAGGGAUCCUCAGACUCAACCGCUGAAGGGUUCCCAAGUUUUACACAUACACCCUCGGGUUGAAGAAAAAGAUCACAGCCGAGCCCUCGGGCGAGGCGGAUAAGGGUCAGCGGAACAGAUAGGGUCGGGCGAGACGGAACCGGGGUCGGGCGGAUAAGAGGGGUCGGGCGAAGCGGACUGGGGUCGGCAGCUUACCUUCUUCCUACAAGGAAAGCUUGGGGUCGGGGAGAAACAGACUUGGGCGGAGGGGCUAAGGUUUUGAACAACGGCUAGGUCCGACUGUGCUCCGGCGGCUGCGGUGCUCCUUGUGGAUCACAAGUGAGCUCUUACGCAGCACGGAGGAGCAAGCGGCUGGAUGGCUUGGGGAAAACGGAGUGGAGCGGAGAGGAGAGUUCCUCAGGAACUUAGUGUGUGGCGCUAGGAGCUUGAGCAGGGAGCGAGAGAAAAGGUGGAAGGAAGCAAUGGUGGAGGGAACUCCGGCGGGGCUCGCGCAUUCCCUUUUAUAGCGGCUGGGAAGGGAGAAGGGAAGCGGCGCGGGAGUGAGAAGGGGAGCGGCGCGAAGGCCGGGGAAGAACAAUGGAGUGCUCUGCCUGGGCGGCGAUUGAGCGACGAGGGCGGUGGUGCAGGACUUCGGGGAUGACGCCAACGGUCAUUGGGCUCUGGCGUUAGGGCGGCGUAGGAGCGGGUAUGCUGGUGGUUGAGAUUUGGCGGAGGCGGGCGUCGUCGUGCGGUAGAUUUGAUGGAAGUGACCGGGUUAACGGUGCUAGAAUCAAGGGCGCACAGGUGAGAAGACAGGCAGCCGCGGGCGCGCGGGCGAGCGCAGAGAAACAGAUUGUCGGGCGGCUUCUGACAGGGCGGGGAAAGGAGCUUUCGCUGCCGUGGUCAGGGUUGGCGAAGGAGGAAUCGUCGGGUAGCGAAGACCAGGCGGUGCGACUGUGUUCGAAGUGACGGAAAAGAUGGUCGACAUCGGGCUCUGCGGCCGGGAUCUGGCGAUGUGAUGAUGGGCGCGGGAGGCGAGGCGUUGCAGAAAGGUUGCAGAGGGCCUUCCGCUGCCAUUGGGGAAGGGGGUGCGAGAAUCCAUUCGAUCACGGGCCAGAGACGAGGCUGAGCGACGGGCGUCGGAGAAGUUGAGCCACGCGGCGGGGAGACUCUGAAGCGGGCAUGCAACUCGAGUGCGCCUGUCGCGGAAGAUCUGGGGGAAAAAGAUCUCGUAGGUCCACUGGUUAGAUAGAACGGGCGUUUUGGGAAGGACUUAGAAGGAUCCGACGGUGAGCUGGGUUUGGCGGGGUCGAAACCGGAGCGAAGCGGGGAGGGGUCGGGUCUCAGGGGUCGGGACCGGUCGGGAGGUUGAACACUCAGGCUUGGAAAGCUAGACAGGUGAUCAGGGGCUCGGAUGAAGAUUAACUUGGAAGAUUUGGGGCCGGUCGUCACAGCCUACCCCUCUUAAAAGGAAUCUCGUCCCGAGAUUCAGGUAUCAAGGGGGUGUGCCGUUCUUACCUCCUUGACGAGAUAGAAAACCUGGGAAGUGCUUGCUCAGAUACUCGUCUGUUUCCCAUGUCGCUUCAUCCUCCGUGUGGUUUCUCCAGAGGAUCUUGUACAUUUUGACCAUUUGGCACCGGGUAUGCCUUUCUUUCUGGUCAAGAAUUCGGUCUGGGUACUCGGCGUAGGUUAGGUCGGGCUCCACCUGAAGCUGCUCUGGCUCUAAGAUCUCGGUUGGAACUUGGACACAUUUCUUCAGUUGAGACACAUGGAAAACAUCGUGUAUGGCCGAUAGCUGUUCUGGGAGUUGGAUCCGGUAAGCAACGGGUCCACAGAUCUCCACAAUCUCAUAAGGGCCAAUGUAGCGGGGAGCCAACUUGCCUUUCACUCCAAACCGUUGCACUCCUUUGGUCGGGGAGACUCGAAGACACACAUGAUCACCAAGGUCAAACUGUAGAGGCCUUCUUCGCCUGUCGGAAUAACUCUUUUGUCGAGAUUGGGCAGCCUUGAGAUUGGCUUGAAUUACCCUUACUUGCUCUUCGGCUUCUGCCACUAAGUCAGGGCCAUAGACCUGUCUCUCUCCUGCUUGGGACCAGUUCAAGGGUGUCCGACAUCUCCGGCCAUACAGGGCUUCAAACGGUGCCAUUUUCAAACUGGCCUGGUAGCUGUUGUUGUAGGAGAACUCCGCCAAGGGCAGGCACUUGUCCCAGUUCUUGUCAUAGUGGACGACACAAGCUCUCAACAUGUCUUCAAGGAUUUGAUUGACUCUUUCGGUUUGACCAUCAGUUUGAGGAUGAUAUGUUGAGCUACGGAUGAGCUUGGUGCCCAUGGAUGCUUGUAGCUGUUCCCAAAAGCGUGCCACAAUCUGAACUCCUCGAUCCGAGAUGAUAGUCUUGGGUACACCGUGUAGAGAAACUAUGCGGUCGAGGUAUAACUCCGCAUACUGCUUGACUGUGUGGGUGGUGCAGAUAGGAAGGAAGUGGGCAGUCUUGGUCAGGCAGUCCACUAUAACCCAGAUGGAGUCAUAUCGCUGCGAUGUAAGGGGCAGUCCAACUAUGAAAUCCAUGUUGAUGUCUUCCCAUUUCCAAGAGGGAAUAGGUAGGGGCUGCAGGGUACCUGCUACCUUUAGAUGGCUGGCCUUGACACGUUGAUAGGUAUCACAUUCUGCAACAUAACGGGCAAUUUCCGACUUCAUUCCACUCCACCAAAAGGUUUGACGGAGAUCAUGGUACAUCUUAUUGCUGCCACGAUGGAUUGAGAACUUGGAGAGAUGAGCUUCGUCUAGGAUCUGCUUCCUCAGUUUGGGGUCGGCUGGUACAACCAGUCGGUGUCCAUAAUAUACGCCUCCAGUUUCGUCCUGCCGGAAUUGCUUAUAUCCUUCAUCCUUUAACGAGAUCUUCCUGAUGAUCCGCUUUAUUUCCUCAUCCUCUACUUCUGCUGUCUGUAUUUGGUCUUCCAAAACUGAGUCAAGGGUGAUGUCGCCGAGGGUUCCAUGGGAAAUAAUUUCCAAACUGAGUUUUCCCAUUUCAUGACACAGUGUCUCGGCGAAAGUUGUUGCCAACAAGCAGUUGCAACAGUUCUUGUGUCUAAGAGCAUUGGCCACCACAUUGGCUUUGCCGGGAUGAUAGUGAACUUCCAAGUCAUAGUCUUUUAUCAACUCCAACCAUCUUCUUUGGCGCAUGUUGAGGUCGGCUUGAGUGAAGAUGUACUUGAGGCUCUUGUGGUCGGUAUAGAUGUUGCAGUGGGUGCCCAUCAGAUAGUGUCUCCAUAUGUUUAAGGCAUGAAUCACUGCUGCUAGCUCAAGGUCAUGGGUCGGGUAGUUCAGCUCAUGGGGUCGUAAUGCUUGUGAGGCAUAGGCAAUGACUCGGUUGUCUUGCAUAAGAACACACCCAAGUCCAGUGCCAGAGGCGUCACAGUACACAUCAAACGGCCUAGAAGGUUCGGGCUGAGCCAAAACUGGGGCUGUGGUCAGCAGGUGCUUCAGGGUCUUGAAGGCUUCUUCGCACUUGUCGCUCCACGCGAACCUGACCUCUUUCUUCAACAACUCUGUCAUCGGCUUAGCUAUCUUAGAGAAAUCCGGUAUAAAGCGCCGAUAGUAGCCUGCCAGUCCAAGGAAACUUCUGAUCUGGUGCACUGAGGUAGGAGGCUUCCAUUCCAUAACUUCCUGUACCUUACUGGGGUCGACGGCUAUACCAUCCUUGGAGAUAGUGUGUCCUAAAAACUUGACACUAUCUAACCAAAACUCACACUUGGAGAACUUGGCAUAGAGUUGGUGAUCUCUCAGCCGUUGGAGAACUACAUGAAGAUGAUCGGCAUGUUCUUCUUCGCUCUUUGAGUACACUAGUAUAUCAUCACUGAACACCACUACAAACUUGUCCAGCUCGGGCAUGAACACCGAGUUCAUGAGGUACAUGAAAUAGGCGGGUGCAUUGGUGAGUCCAAAGGACAUGACCAGGUACUCGUAUAGUCCAUAUUUGGUAGAGAAGGCUGUCUUGGGUAUGUCGCAAGGUCGGAUCUUGAUUUGGUGAUAACCCGAGCGAAGAUCGAUCUUGGAGAACACCUUUGCUCCAGCCAACUGAUCAAACAAGACAUCAAUGUGUGGCAGUGGGUACUUGUUCUUGACGGUCACAGCAUUGAGGGGUCGGUAGUCCACACACAUGCGUAGACUGCCAUCCUUCUUCUUCACAAACAGGGCGGGGCAACCCCAAGGUGAUGUGCUGGGUCGGAUGAAGCCUUUUUCCAACAAAUCAUGCAACUGGGUCUUCAACUCGGCCAACUCAGCAGGUGGCAUCCGAUAGGGUCUCUUGGAUAUUGGUGCGGUGCCGGGGAUCAACUCCAUGGAAAACUCUACCUCUCUAUCAGGUGGCAUACCAGGCAAGUCUUCGGGGAACACGUCAGGAUACUCACAGACAACAGGGAGAUUUUCUAGUCGGGCUCCUGAUAGAGGGUACGCACAAGGGAGUGCGGACUUAGGAUGUUUCAAGGAUAGGGUAGAACUACCAUGGAAGCGUGAGUUGAUGUGGAGAGAUCGGGCGGCUGUAUCUAGAACCACUUGAUGUUUGGCCAUCCAAUCCAUACCGAGGAUGACAUCUAUGCCUUCUAGGUCAAGGAUGAUAAGGUUUUCCUUGAAAAGGGUUGGGCCUAGCUGGAGAGGUACAAGAGUGACGAUCUGAUCCGAAGCUAUCUUCCCUCCCGGAGUGGCGAUCACAUAGGAUUCCUUAGUGUGACCGACAUCCAGCUCACAUCUUUCUCUAGCCUUACCCCCGAUAAAGCUAUGAGAGGCUCCCGAAUCAAACAACACAACAACAGCUUGAUUUUAGACAAGGAAAGUACCUGUCAUUACUGGCGCACCUUCGGGGAGCUCGGUCAAGUUGGUGUAGUUGAGUCGGCCCUGUCAGACUUGUACCUUGGGCCUUCUUCCUCUGUUUGCCAUGGGGUUCUGGCCUUGCUGCUGAUUCUUAUUCCUGGGGCAGUCCUUAGCAAAAUGCCCUUCAUUGCCGCAGGUGAAACAACGGCUACUAGCUGCAGGGCGAGGUGGUGCUGGUGGGGUCGGCUGGGGCGCCUGUGGUUGGAAGCCGGGGAAACGGGGCGCUGCUGCUGGCGGGGGUCGGGCAAUCCACCUUCCCGACUGCUGGGGUCGGCUGGGCGCUUGUGGAGGAACCAUUCGGAACCUUCGAGUUGGCUGGCUCGGAGAUGCCACGGAGGCCUUCCUCUUCUGGUCGGCUUUGAGAGCCUGCAUGCAAUCCUCUUGAGAGAUGGCCAGAUUGACCAACUCGUUGUAGGUGUCCACCUUGAUGGGGUUCAACCUUUCUCUGAGCUCCAAGCUCAGUCCUCGGCGGAAUCUGUCCCGCUUCUUCUCAUCUGUGUUCGCAUGAUAUCCGGCAUAACGGCACAAGUCGUUGAAAGCUUGGGCGUAGUGCAGCACAUCUCGGGUUCCCUGGGUAAGAGCCAGGAACUCAUUGAGCUUGCGCUCCAAGAGACCUUCUGGGAUGUGAUGCGCUUUAAACGCGGUCUUGAACUCGUUCCAGCUGACCACAUGGCCAGUCGGCAACAUGGCAUGGUAGUGGUCCCACCAGAGCCGUGCGGAGCCACGCAACUGUUGAGCUGCGAACCGAGCCUUGUUAUGGUCGGGGCACGGGGCGGUGAGAAGCUCGAACUUGGAUUCGAUCGUACGAACCCAGGCGUCAGCGUCGAGCGGUUCUUGUGUCUUCUGAAACAAAGGGGGCUGUGUCCCUAAAAAGUCCUCAUAGAGAGCAACACGCGGCUGCUGCUGAGCCCUUCCACCAUGGGGCUCAUGCUGUUGUCCUUGUACAAGAUGCCUUAGCAGCUCGGUUUGAGUUGCUAGGAUUGCCUCUAGUGGAGACGAGGGCGGGGGUGGGGGAAGAUCCUGUCGCUGCUCGCUGCUGCCGGGCACAGAACCAGAUCUGGUGCGAUGCGCCAUCUGCAAGAGUUAGCGUUCCAUUAAAUCCCAAAAACUUAGAAGUACUCCAACAGAUGGAACGCAUAAGUUAAAUUCUCCAAUACAACUCUUGCCGAUAAUGCAACACACGUCCUCAUAAGGGAGAUAUACUCUUCUCAUCAUCAUGUUAGAUAGCGUUUAUCUUAGCCUUGUACUCAACUCUGGGCGAAUCAUACCCUACCCAGACUCCUAUAAUCCAACUUAAGCCACGGGGUCAGGCUAGGCGAUCCUCCCGAGAAAAAAAAAAGUCGGCAACGAUCCACAUUAAAAAGGGGUCGGCGCAUCCGGUCUCGCGAACCGGGGUCGGCCAACUUGAACAGACCCACAGAAAACAGCGGGCGUGGUCGCGGCUCAACUCACUUAGGCUAACAUUCCAACACUUCACAAGAGUUAGAGGCCAGACUCAGGAAUUGACUUUAUACACAGCGGUGUUCCAACACAGGGAGUACUCGACUCAAGGCUAACCUAUUACAAUCCUUUCCAAAAUUUAGGCUGCCGAGGAGCACAACAAAAGAAUGAGUCCCUGAUAACUCUUAAUCUACAAAUGGACACUAUGAGUAGGAGAAGGGGCGCCGUCUUCUUCGAUGUCCAUACUGGACGCUUCCUCAUCCUCCUCGGGAUCCUCUUGAGCUUCGAGAUGCAUAUGGAGGGCAUGCAUAUCGUCGAGCUCAGCUUGAUGCUCCUCCAAGUGAGCAUUGGCAACCGCCAGCUCCAUCUCUAUUUCCAUCUUCUCCUCCGACAGCUCGAUCAUGCCGUCCACUAGGUCGGCUAUUUCUCCCUCGAGCUCGGAGAUCCGGUCUUGCAUGUCGUGUAUCUGAAUGCCUCGUUGGAUAAGCUGGUAGGUUUGGCCUACCAUGUCUCUCCUGGCUGACUGGAGGUAUCCUUGAGCAUCCACUGCGGUCCGGGCAAGGAUGGUCAUGGCUCUCCCUUGUAGCUCGAUCAGCCGAUAGAGGGCUGUCAUGCAUCUGACGUUGGUGGAGAUGGUGACCAUGGAGUACGUGGUGGCUAGCACCUCAAUAUUUCCGACGCGGUCGAGCCACGCCGGAUCCAACCGGUUCCUUGCGGGGAACAGGCCGAUGGGGUCCAGGGUGACCUCCAGGGGAUGCAGCUGACAAAACUGGGUAAGAAGCUGGAGAGCGGCGGACUCCCAAGUGUCCUCCGGAGCAAGACCGUAGGCUGAUAUACCGAAGGAGGGCCAGUUGAGCCGCACAGGGGGAGGAGGUACCACCACCUGUACAUUGCACGUCUGGAUGCCCUGCUCCAGAUACAGUCGUCCGGCGUACAAUGGUGGGAACUGGUACCCAAACCAUUUCAACGUGUCCCACAAAAUCGCGGGGAAGCCCUCGAAAUGUAGACAGGUUGACUGGAAGGUACCAUCCGCUCCAAACAAAAUGUGUCCGGGGACGGCCAUCUGGAACCAAGAAACCAAAACCACGUGAGAUAGACUCCAAGGGUCGGGGGUCGGAUAGAGAAGCAUUCGGCUUUAACCGAGAGCAACUGGCAGAAACUAGAAAUCCUUAGAACCGAAAAAGAGCUCUUCCGAGCAAGGUUGCUUUUGAGGAGAGCGACUUUACAGAUUUUUGGCUUAUGACGCAUGCACGGCCUACCUUACUCUUAACCAAAACAACUGCCCGAAACAUGGGUCUUACGCGGUCAGUGCCGGUGGCAAGGCAACAAGUACGUCUCUCCCUAUAAUAGCUAGUCGGUUCUAGUAACGUCUUCUAAGCGAACGCGGUUAGUGUACCUGCAGAAAACACCAACACACGAACCUUUCGUGCCAGCACCCACGAACGCGUUCCCAAACAUUACCGCUCACUAUAGGAACGGCACCCAUGCAUUUAAGGCUGCAUGGACAGCACUCAACCGUGGAAAUAGGUUCCCUUUGAAUGGAACCAUAUAACCCUUCGCAUACUCGUGAUGCGGAAUCAGCACACGUGUGAUAGACGUGGCGAAUCAACCGUGUCGAUAGGUUCGUUGGAAUCGAACCGUACCAACCUUCGUAUGGAUUAACAUACGGAACCUGCGCACGUAUGAUAGACGUGGGCGAAAACAACCACGAUGAUAGGGUCCUUUGAAUAGAACUCCCUAUCAACCCUCGCAUACUCGUGAUGCGGAACUCGGCACACGUAUGAUAAACGUGGCGAAGUGCUGGAAGGGUUAGCAAGAUAACCAAAUAAAAUAUUAGCCACCUAAAACAACCCCAAAAUCACCUAGGGCCUCUCGCACUAAAGUCAUCCUUAACGAUCAUACGAGAUUUUUCAAAAAGUUUCUUGCAACUUUUAUCUUUUCAAAGAAGUGUUAGGGCUUGUUGUGUUCUCUGUACUGCUAAAACUGCUCUGGUACCAGCUGUGGCAGAUCCACUUCGGAUCUACUUGGUUAAACAUGAUUUAGCCGCCUGAUACGCGACACUCAUGCCUAAGCUGAGUAAACACGAAGUGCCGUCGGAUUUCCUCCGAUUUAACCACUUGAACAGGACCGUUUUAGCAGACUCACACGAAGGUGAGCGGUUCCAGAGAGUACAACAAGUCCACCGAGUUAACAACUUAACCACUUAGCUUGAUUAUAAAAUAACAUCAGAGUUUUACAAGGUUUUCAGAAGACAAAGGAAAGUAAAACCACUAGCGGAAGCAACGUCGGGGUCGGACAUCCUUGGUGAGGCCAGCCGGGACAUCACUGAUCCCUCUCCUCGCCGUCCGAGGAGGGAUCCCACUCGACCGUCCAACCCGGAGGGAGCUGGGGCGGCCAAGUGCCAGCAGGAGAAGGGUCGGGAGCAGCAACUUCACCUGAAAAACAGGAGCCACAACAAGGCUGAGCUACUAAGCUCAACAAGACUUAACCGACAGGAGUAAAGCUACUCCACACUUCUAGACAUGCAAGGCUCUUUGGCUGAGGGGUUUGUUUGCCAAGAAGCACUAAGUAAAACCCUAUUUUCAAGUUUUAGCUCCGGUUCUAAGUUCAUUAACCGGUCUAGGUUUUGCAACCUAUCCUAAGCAAUCAUAGAACCAAAACUAGGUAUGUAGAUAUCAACGAAACCAUGUUAUCAUCAGAUUCCUCAUUUACUCAGGGUGACAUAGCGAUCAAGCAGUCUCAACUGUGAGAGGCAGACGAAUCGAUUCGAGUUCUUUAACCAUGCAUGGUGAACCUAACCUCACGACAUCCGCGCACCACGGAGGUCGCUUCCUUUGUCGGCCUUCCCCAUCAAUCCCCUAACCCGUGUCGGGCCCAUUUCCUUUGGUGCAAGGUUCCACAGACCCGGCCUCUGCCGUUCUGUGACCACGCUUGCCACCACGUGCGACAACCAGCAGGGGAAACUCCGUUCCAAGAACAAUGGGGCGACCGCUCACAUCUAGGUUCAAUCCGGUACUCGGCUUCCUCAUCCCAUACUAAGUAUGAGGUUAGUACUUUCAAACACUUGAUCACGAACACCACCACUGUCGGGCCUUAGCAAGUUUUCAUAGACAGACGGGGCGAUCAUCCGACCACCAAAGAGUUACCCAAAACCCUACCCCGUCCAUCGUCCUUACAGUUGUAACAGAAAGGUAGACAUCCAACUCCUACAACUCGCGAGUGACAGGGAAUCACUCGGCUUUUACCGUUUCCUAGUUAAGCAAGGCAACUACUCGGUCCAACAGCUAGUGUUCAGAUCAUGGGAGCUAAGAUAUGCAUCUAGGGUUCCAAACAACUCCUAUACGUAAAUGCACAAGCAUGUUAUAGAAGGCAUGCGCAAGUCUGGCAAAACAACACAGGGUUUUCAUGCAACCGGGGCUUGCCUUCGAGCAAGGAGGAAGAGAACUGCUCGACUUCGGGGGCGGCUUCGGCUUCAGAGAGCAGGAGCUCAGCUACACCAUCGUCUUCUGGCGCCGGGUGCAGCUCGUAGAAGCCGUCGGCGAGGCGCAACUCUACACGAAUGCCAUGCACUAGUUAGUAUAGACGGUUAUUUCAACAGCAACACUUGCAAGUUUGAGCCCAGAAACUUGCGACACAGAGCAAAAGGGUGGGAAGGUUCAAGGGAGCUGGUGGAGAUCAAGGGGUAAGGGUCGGAAAAGGAACUUAUGAUCUGAUCCUUAAACUAGAGGAUUUGGUAUGCUAGGGAUCCUCAGACUCAACCGCUGAAGGGUUCCCAAGUUUUACACAUACACCCUCGGGUUGAAGAAAAAGAUCACAGCCGAGCCCUCGGGCGAGGCGGAUAAGGGUCAGCGGAACAGAUAGGGUUGGGCGAGACGGAACCAGGGUCGGGCGGAUAAGAGGGGUCGGGCGAAGCGGACUGGGGUCGGCAGCUUACCUUCUUCCUACAAGGAAAGCUUGGGGUCGGGGAGAAACAGACUUGGGCGGAGGGGCUAAGGUUUUGAACAACGGCUAGGUCCGACUGUGCUCCGGCGGCUGCGGUGCUCCUUGUGGAUCACAAGUGAGCUCUUACGCAGCACGGAGGAGCAAGCGGCUGGAUGGCUUGGGGAAAACGGAGUGGAGCGGAGAGGAGAGUUCCUCAGGAACUUAGUGUGUGGCGCUAGGAGCUUGAGCAGGGAGCGAGAGAAAAGGUGGAAGGAAGCAAUGGCGGAGGGAACUCCGGCGGGGCUCGCGCAUUCCCUUUUAUAGCGGCUGGGAAGGGAGAAGGGAAGCGGCGCGGGAGUGAGAAGGGGAGCGGCGCGAAGGCUGGGGAAGAACAAUGGAGUGCUCUGCCUGGGCGGCGAUUGAGCGACGAGGGCGGUGGUGCAGGACUUCGGGGAUGACGCCAGCGGUCAUUGGGCUCUGGCGUUAGGGCGGUGCAGGAGCGGGUAUGCCGGUGGUUGAGAUUUGGCGGAGGCGGGCGUCGUCGUGCGGUAGAUUUGAUGGAAUUGACCGGGUUAACGGCGCUAGAAUCAAGGGCGCACAGGUGAGAAGACAGGCAGCCGCGGGCGCGCGGGCGAGCGCGGAGCAACAGAUUGUCGGGCGGCUUCUGACAGGGCGGGGAAAGGAGCUGUCGCUGCCAUGGUCAGGGUUGGCGAAGGAGGAAUCGUCGGGUAGCGAAGACUAGGCGGUGCGACUGUGUUCGAAGUGACGGAAAAGACGGGCGACAUCGGGCUCUACGGCCGGGAUCUGGCGAUGUGAUGAUGGGCGCGGGAGGCGAGGCGUUGCAGAAAGGUUGCAGAGGGGCUUCCGCUGCCAUUGGGGAAGGGGGCGCGAGAAUCCAUUCGGUCGCGGGCCAGAGACGAGGCUGAGCGGUGGGCGUCGGAGAAGUUGAGCCACGCGGCGGGGAGACUCUGAAGCGGGCAUGCAACUCGAGUGCACCUGUCGCGGAAGAUCUGGGGGAAAAAGAUCUCGUGGGUCCACCGGUCAGAUAGAACGGGCGUUUUGGGAAGGACUUAGAAUGAUCCGACGGUGAGCUGGGUUUGGUGGGGUCGGAACCGGAGCGAAGCGGGGAGGGGUCGGGUCUCAGGGGUCGGGACCGGUCGGGAGGUUGAACACUCAGGCUUGGAAAACUAGACAGGUGAUCAGGGGCUCGGAUGAAGAUUAACUUGGAAGAUUUGGGGCCGGUCGUCACAGCAACGCAAUCUAAACCAUCUGCAACUAAUCUCAUAUUCAUUGUUAGCUCCAAAAUAAUAGCAAAUCUCCAUAAUGGAGAAUUAGUAAUUGCAACAUCCACUGUCUUUGAGCGCACACC